rnacentral:rRNA from 1 species
AGUGAACGCUGGCGGUAGGCCUAACACAUGCAAGUCGAACGGCAGCACAGUAAGAGCUUGCUCUUACGGGUGGCGAGUGGCGGACGGGUGAGGAAUACAUCGGAAUCUACUUUUUCGUGGGGGAUAACGUAGGGAAACUUACGCUAAUACCGCAUACGACCUACGGGUGAAAGCAGGGGAUCUUCGGACCUUGCGCGAUUGAAUGAGCCGAUGUCGUAUUAGCUAGUUGGAGGGGUAAAGGCCCACAAAGGCGACGAUCCGUAGCUGGUCUGAGAGGAUGGUCAGCCACACUAGAGCUGAGACACGAUCCAGACUCCUACGGGAGGCAGCAGUGGGGAAUAUUGGACAAUGGGCGCAAGCCUGAUCCAGCCAUACCGCGUGGGUGAAGAAGGCCUUCGGGUUGUAAAGCCCUUUUGUUGGGAAAGAAAAGCAGCAGGUUAAUACCCCGCUGUUCUGACGGUACCCAAAGAAUAAGCACCGGCUAACUUCGU